UACGUAGGGGGCAAGCGUUGUCCGGAAUCAUUGGGCGUAAAGCGCGUGUAGGCGGCUCGAUAAGUCCGCUGUGAAAGUCCAGGGCUCAACCCUGGAAUGCCGGUGGAUACUGUCGGGCUCGAAUCCGGAAGAGGUGAGUGGAAUUCCUGGUGUAGCGGUGAAAUGCGCAGAUAUCAGGAGGAACACCGAUUGCGAAGGCAGCUCGCUGGGACGUAACUGACGCUGAGACGCGAAAGCGUGGGGAGCAAACAGG
rnacentral:rRNA from 1 species